rnacentral:pre_miRNA from 1 species
UACCUAACUGGGUUAGGGCCCUGGCUCCAUCUCCUUUAGGAAAACCUUCUGUGGGGAGUGGGGUUUUGACCCUAACCCAGCUGGGCU